rnacentral:siRNA from 1 species
GCGGAUGGGGGCCGGCGAUGC